rnacentral:misc_RNA from 1 species
UGUGGGAGCUGGCUUGCCUGCGAUGCGGGCACCUCGGUGCUUCUGUCAAGUCGAGGUGAUGCUAUCGCAGGCAAGCCAGCUCCCACA